AUUGAACGCUGGCGGCAGGCCUAACACAUGCAAGUCGAGCGGAGCGGGGGACGGGUGGGUAAUGCCUAGGAAUCUGCCUGGCAGUGGGGGAUAACGUACGGAAACGGGCCCUAAUACCGCAUACUAUCAGAUGAGCCUAGGGCGGAUUGGGGAGUUGGUGGGGUAAGGGCCUACCAAGGCGACGAUCCGUAACUGGUCUGAGAGGAUGAUCAGUCACACUGGAACUGAGACACGGUCCAGACUCCUACGGUAGGCAGCAGUGGGGAAUAUUGGACAAUGGGCGAAAGCCUGAUCCAGCCAUGCCGCGUGUGUGAAGAAGGUCUUCGGAUUGUAAAGCACUUUAAGUUGGGAGGCGUUACCAACAGAAUAAGCACCGGCUAACUUCGUGCCAGCAGCCGCGGUAAUUC
rnacentral:rRNA from 1 species